AACUUCGGGGAAGGCGUCUUCGGAGGACAGGAAGACAGUGGUGCAUGGUUGUCGUCAGCUCGUGUCGUGAGAUGUUGGGUUUAAGUCCCGCAACGAGCGCAACCCUUAUCGUUAGUUGCUACCAUUAGGUUGAGCACUCUAGCGAGACUGCCGGUUAACCGGGAGGAAGGUGGGGAUGACGUCAAAUCAUCAUGCCCCUUAUGUCUAGGGCUACACACGUGCUACAAUGGUGAGGACAAAGAGACGCAAGACCGCGAGGUGGAGCAAAUCUCACAAACCUCAUCCCAGUUCGGAUUGCAGGCUGAAACUCGCCUGCAUGAAGCCGGAGUUGCUAGUAAUCGCGAAUCAGCAUGUCGCGGUGAAUACGUUCCCGGGCCUUG
rnacentral:rRNA from 1 species